UAGGGAAUUUUCCGCAAUGGGCGAAAGCCUGACGGAGCAACGCCGCGUGAGCGAGGACGGCCUUCGGGUUGUAAAGCUCUGUUCUUGAGGAAGAAUCCCGCAGAUGUGAACAGCAUCUGUGGUUGACGGUACUCAAGGAGAAAGCCCCGGCUAACUACGUGCCAGCAGCCGCGGUAAUACGUAGGGGGCGAGCGUUAUCCGGAAUUAUUGGGCGUAAAGCGCGCGCAGGCGGCCGGUUAAGUCAGGUGUGAAAGGCUGCGGCUCAACCGCAGAGCGGCAUCUGAAACUGGUCGGCUUGAGUGCAGGAGAGGGGAGCGGAAUUCCCGGUGUAGUGGUGGAAUGCGUAGAGAUCGGGAGGAACACCAGUGGCGAAGGCGGCUCUCUGGCCUGUAACUGACGCUGAGGCGCGAAAGCGUGGGGAGCAAA
rnacentral:rRNA from 1 species